rnacentral:rRNA from 1 species
UGUAAGUCGUGCGAUCGAGCCGAACGGAUUGCCCUUCGGGGUAUGAAGAUCGGUGACGGAGCGGCGGACUGGUGAGUAACGCGUAGCCAACCUGCCCUCUUGACGGGGACAACCACUCGAAAGGGUGGCUAAUACCCGAUGUUGCUGUCGGUCGAUGGGCCGGCAGCCAAAGGCGGUCUUGCCGUCGCAAGGGGAGGGGGCUGCGUCCUAUCAGCUUGUUGGUGAGGUAACGGCUCACCAAGGCGAUGACGGGUAGCUGGUCUGAGAGGAUGGUCAGCCACAUUGGGACUGAGAUACGGCCCAGACUCCUACGGGAGGCAGCAGUGGGGAAUCUUGGACAAUGGACGAAAGUCUGAUCCAGCGACACCGCGUGGGGGAUGAAGGCUCUCGGGUCGUAAACCCCUUUUCUGGGGGAAGAAUAAGGACGGGAGGAAAUGCCCGCCCGAUGACGGUACCCCAGGAAUAAGCAUCGGCUAACUUCGUGCCAGCAGCCGCGGUAAGACGAAGGAUGCGAGCGUUAUCCGGAAUCACUGGGCGUAAAGGGCGUCUAGGCGGCCCGGUAAGUCACUUGUGAAAGCCCUCGGCUCAACCGAGGAAUGCCGGGUGAUACUGUCGGGCUUGGGUGUAGGAGAGGGGAGUGGAACUCACAGAGUAGCGGUGGAGUGCGUAGAUACUGUGAGGUACCCCGAUGGCGAAGGCAACUCCCUGGCCUACCACCGACGCUGAAGCGCGAGAGCGUGGGGAGCAAAGGGGAUUAGAUACCCCCGUAGUCCACGCCCCAAACGAUGUUCACUUGGUGUCGGCCGCUUAUACAGGUCGGUGCCGAAGCUAACGCAUUAAGU